GCCAGCAGCCGCGGUAAUACCUGCAGCCCAAGUGGUGGUCGAUUUUAUUGAGUCUAAAACGUUCGUAGCCGGUUUGGUAAAUCUUUGGGUAAAUCGGGAGGCUCAACUUCCGACUUCCGAAGAGACUGUCAAACUUGGGACCGGGAGAGGCUAGAGGUACUUCUGGGGUAGGGGUAAAAUCCUGUAAUCCUAGAAGGACCACCGGUGGCGAAGGCGUCUAGCUAGAACGGAUCCGACGGUGAGGGACGAAGCCCUGGGUCGCAAACGGGAUUAGAUACCCCGGUAGUCCAGGGUGUAAACGCUGCCGACUUGGUGUUGGAGGCCCUUCGGGGCAUUCAGUGCCGGAGAGAAGUUGUUAAGUCGGCUACUUGGGGAGUACGUCCGCAAGGAUGAAACUUAAAGGAAUUGGCGGGGGAGCACCGCCAACGGGAGGAGCGUGCGGUUUAAUUGGAUUCAACACCGGAAAACUCACCAAGGGCGACUAUCACAUGAAAGCCAGGCUAACGACCUUGCUUGAUUCUUAGAGGAGAGGUGCAUGG
rnacentral:rRNA from 1 species